ACGGAAUAGAUACCCUGGUAGUCCACGCCCUAAACGAUGUCUACUAGUUGUUGGUGGAGUAAAAUCCAUGAGUAAACGCAGCUAAACGCGUGAAGUAGACCGCCUGGGGAGUACGGUCGCAAGAUUAAAACUCAAAUGAAUUGACGGGGGCCCGCACAAGCGGUGGAUUAUGUGGAUCAAUUCGAUGCAACGCGAAAACCUUACCUGGCCUUGACAUGUAACGAACUUUCCAGAGAUGGAUUGGUGCUCGAAAGAGAACGUUAACACAGGUGCUGCAUGGCUGUCGUCAGCUCGUGUCGUGAGAUGUUGGGUUAAGUCCCGCAACGAGCGCAACCCUUGCCAUUAAUUGCCAUCAUUAGUUGGGCACUUUAAUGGGACUGCCGGUGACAAACCGGAGGAAGUGGGGAUGACGUCAAGUCCUCAUGGCCCUUAUGGCCAGGGCUUCACACGUAAUACAAUGGUCGGUACAGAGGGUUUGCCAACCCGCGAGGGGGAG
rnacentral:rRNA from 1 species